rnacentral:rRNA from 1 species
AUUUCCAGCUUGUCUGGAUAAAUAAUUCGAUGACGUGGAUUGAUAAUAGAAUUAGGUUGUAGCUCCAGCGUUCGGAAAGACAUUUAAACUUGAGGAUUCUUUCUAAUGCGACAAUAGGGAUUCCAUUGAAUUAGAUUACUAGUUAUUAUUACCUAGUUUAUUGGUAUUUGAUUACAUUUUUCAUAUUUUUCAAUUAAUAUAAAAUAACAGUGGGGUUGUUUUGUUAUCUAUCUAAUUUUAUUAUUUGUAUGUGGGUUUUUUAUAAUUUUUUAGAUUACAUUUCGAGAUAUCCCAGAAGAGCAGGGGGUUUUCUUAAAUUCGGAAAACUGAAUUUUCAAUUUAAAAUUAUAAAUAUUUACUCUGUCAGUCACAAAGCAAAUUGGAAAGUAUGGUCGGGGGAUAAUUUUCUGAUUACUAAUACGAUGGAAACGUGCCAGUUAUAUGGCGCCGGCAACUUAAAAUAUAGUGACCCGUCCGGUCUGGAAAAUUUGUUUGUUUUCCUGUACAAA